rnacentral:rRNA from 1 species
UACGAUGCGGUGUGUGGGGAUCUGCCCUAUAGAGGGGGAUAACCUCUGGAAACUGUGGCUAAUACCGCAUAACCUCGCAAGACCAAAGAGGGGGACCUUUAGGCCUCUNCACUAUCGGAUGAACCCAGAUGGGAUUAGCUAGUAGGCGGNGGUAACGGCCCACCUAGGCGACGAUCCCUAGCUGGUCUGAGAGGAUGACCAGCCACACUGGAACUGAGACACGGUCCAGACUCCUACGGGAGGCAGCAGUGGGGAAUAUUGCACAAUGGGCGCAAGCCUGAUGCACCCGUGCCGCGUGUAUGAAAAAGGCCUUCGGGUUGUAAAGUACUUUCAGCGGGGAGGAAGGCGAUGUGGUUAAUAACCGCAUUGAUUGACGUUACCCGCAAAAAANAGCACCGGCUAACUCCGUGCCAGCAGCCGCGGUAAUACAGAGGGUGCAAGCGUUAAUCGGAAUUACUGGGCGUAAAGCGCACGCACGCGGUCUGUUAACUCAUAUGUGAUAUCCCCGGGCUUAACCUGGGAACUGCAUUUGACACUGGCGCGCUUGAGUCUCGUAGAGGGGGGUAGAAUUCCGUGUGUA